ACUGCAACAGGACGAGCGAGGAUAAUAACGGCGUGCGCAAGACGAGUCUUCUCCCGCGUCAUUCGAUUAAUGUAGCUGUGUUACAACUCCGCUGCUGCGCAUCGGUCCGGUGAGUUAUAAAAUUUCUUUACCGUUUGAAACAUCGCGACGCUUAUCUUAUUCCGUAUCAGCAGAAUAAAAAAAAAGAAAACAAAAAUGAAUGGAGAGACUGAAAUUUGUA